CCUACGGGAGGCAGCAGUGAGGAAUAUUGGUCAAUGGGCGCGAGCCUGAACCAGCCAAGUAGCGUGAAGGAUGACUGCCCUACGGGUCGUAAACUUCUUUUAUAAAGGAAUAAAGUGUGGCACGCGUCCCUUUUUGCAUGUACCUUAUGAAUAAGGAUCGGCUAACUCCGUGCCAGCAGCCGCGGUAAUACGGAGGAUCCGAGCGUUAUCCGGAUUUAUUGGGUUUAAAGGGAGCGUAGGUGGGUUGUUAAGUCAGUUGUGAAAGUGUGGGGCUCAACCGUAAAAUUGCAGUUGAUACUGGCAGUCUUGAGUACAGUAGAGGUAGGCGGAAUUCGUGGUGUAGCGGUGAAAUGCUUAGAUAUCGCGAAGAACUCCGAUUGCGAAGGCAGCUUGCUGGACUGACACUGACGUUGAGGCACGAAAGUGUGGGUAUCGAACAGGAUUAGAUACCCGGGUAGUC
rnacentral:rRNA from 1 species